GGCUGAAAUUACGCCUUCAUGAAGCUGGAAUUGCUAGUAAUGGCAGGUCAGCAUACUGCCGUGAAUACGUUCCCGGGCCUUGUACACACCGCCCGUCACACCAUGAGAGUUGGAAAUACCCGAAGCCUGUGAGCUAACUGUAAAGAGGCAGCAGUCGAAGGUAGAGCCAAUGAUUGGGGUGAAGUCGUAACAAGGUAAC
rnacentral:rRNA from 1 species